GGAGGCACGGAAGAAGGAACGGUAGGACGCGUUCGUCGUACGCAUGAUGCCGCUAACCGACAACAACGACGACGACAUAAACGACAACGUCGGACAAUGACGACGCGAUCAUCGUGUAGUGAAUAUCGCCGAAUCGAAUUCUCUCGGUAUUACGUUCUCAUUUUAUUUUGUAAGAGAAUAAAACGUGCGAUCGGUGCGUGGGUCCAAUUUCGGGUAUCUUAAUUAUCGAGGAAUAUAUUUCCAACGAAUAUUUCAAGCUUCGUAGAUCUACGAAAUACAUAUUACGACGUUGAAGGGAGAUACAACGUGUGACUUCGAAAUUAAAUUGGAAAAAUGUCGGAAUAUCGGGAACGAGAAUAUCGGAAUUAUUACCAGGACGAUUAUCUCACCUGUUCGUUUACCUGGACUAGAAGGUAGAAGGUAGAAGUGUAUAGUACCUAGUGGUACCGGAAGAAAUGUUUUCGACGUGCUUUUGAAGGUGCAAGGAGCACCGGUUGUUAAGGUUGUUCAUCACUCCUGCUUUUAUAAUGGUUUAUGCCGGCAAUGAAUCCAGAAGUAAUUUACAGAUCGAUUUUGAAGAACAAGGAAGGACUCGUUUCAAAGAGAUGAAACUGCAAACGAGGUAAAUGCGUUUUUCGAAUUUUUGCGAAAGCAUUAUUCUCUUUG